CCUACGGGUGGCUGCAGUGGGGAAUAUUGGACAAUGGGGGGAACCCUGAUCCAGCCAUGCCGCGUGUGUGAAGAAGGCCCUCGGGUUGUAAAGCACUUUCAGUGAGGAAGAACGCCUGGUGGUUAAUACCCAUCAGGAAAGACAUCACUCACAGAAGAAGCACCGGCUAACUCCGUGCCAGCAGCCGCGGUAAUACGGAGGGUGCGAGCGUUAAUCGGAAUUACUGGGCGUAAAGCGCGCGUAGGUGGCUUGAUAAGCCGGUUGUGAAAGCCCCGGGCUCAACCUGGGAACGGCAUCCGGAACUGUCAAGCUAGAAUGCAGGAGAGGAAGGUAGAAUUCCCGGUGUAGCGGUGAAAUGCGUAGGGAUCGGGAGGAAUACCAGUGGCGAAGGCGGCCUUCUGGAAUGACACUGACACUGAGGUGCGAAAGCGUGGGUAGCAAACAGGAAUAGAUACCCUAGUAGUC
rnacentral:rRNA from 1 species